GUUGACAGGCGGUCCGGUACGUUUUCAGAAAGAAAGCACACAAGAAACCGCUAUUUUGCGGGACUAAAAAGGUGUGCCUUCCUCAAAUUCAACUGACGUUAUUGGGAGACUGCCACGAUUAUUGAGGAGUGAAAUGUCCAGCUAUCAUUCUGCAACCAUUUCACAUGGUUAACCAAAAAAUGGAAUCUUGACCAAUAAAUGAGUCGUAGACAA